UAGGGAAUCUUCCACAAUGGACGCAAGUCUGAUGGAGCAACGCCGCGUGAGUGAAGAAGGGUUUCGGCUCGUAAAGCUCUGUUGUUAAAGAAGAACGUGGGUAAGAGUAACUGUUCAUACGUUGACGGUAUUUAACCAGAAAGUCACGGCUAACUACGUGCUAG
rnacentral:rRNA from 1 species